rnacentral:misc_RNA from 1 species
CCUCCCGGGAGAGCCGCUAAGGGGGAAACUCUAUGCGGUACUGCCUGAUAGGGUGCUUGCGAGUGCCCCGGGAGGUCUCGUAGA